rnacentral:lncRNA from 1 species
UUUAGUUUUCCAUCGUUAGCUUCUAAUGGGCUCACCGAAUGCCAGAACUCUUCAAUAACACCUGAAAUACUGCUUGCACUGUUACUUGAAAUCUGCAAGUUUGUUACACAAGAAUCCAGUUUCAUUUCUCUGUAAUAUUCAUCAUCUACGUCCUGAAUCUUAUUUUCGGUCUUAUUUUCGGAUUGGGAAAUUGUAACCAAAUGUGUGAAAAUUAAUUUAGAAAUGGGGUAAAUACUAUUAAAAAGCAAAUUUUAUUUUAGUCAUAA